CUGGCAUUCCCAGGUGUCCCUAUUCGGUGAUCAGGACUGAACACAGAGACUCACCAUGGAGUCUGGGCUCAGCUGGGUUUUCCUUGUUGCUCUGUUACAAGGUGUCCAGUGUGAGGUGCAGCUGGUGGAGUCUGGGGGAGGCUUAGUCCAGCCUGGGGGGUCCCUGACACUCUCCUGUGUAGCCUCUGGAUUCACCUUCAGCAGCUACGCGAUGUGCUGGGUCCGCCAGGCUCCAGGGAAGGGGCUGGAGUGGGUCUCAGCCAUUGGUAGUGGUGGUGGCACAUACUACGCAGACGCCGUGAAGGGCCAGUUCACCAUCUCCAGAGACAACAGCAAGAACACGCUGUCUCUGCAAAUGAAGAGUCUGCAAGCCGAGGACACGGCCAUGUACUACUGUGCGAGAGACACAGUGAGGGGACAUCAGUGUGAGCCCAGACACAAACCUCCUGCGGGGGCGCGUGGGGACACCAGGGGGCAGGCGGGGCACAAGGAGCAGAGUCAGCCCAGGGCAGGUGCAGGUGGAGGGUAA